UACGUAGGGGGCAAGCGUUGUCCGGAAUCAUUGGGCGUAAAGCGCGCGUAGGCGGCCCGGUAAGUCCGUUGUGAAAGUCAAAGGCUCAACCUUUGAACGCCGAUGGAUACUGCCGGGCUAGAGUCCGGAAGAGCGAGUGGAAUUCCUGGUGUAGCGGUGGAAUGCGCAGAUAUCAGGAGGAACACCAAUAGCGAAGGCAGCUCGCUGGGACGGUACUGGACGCUGAGGCGCGAAAGCGUGGGGAGCGAACAGG
rnacentral:rRNA from 1 species